rnacentral:rRNA from 1 species
CCUACGGGAGGCAGCAGUGAGGAAUAUUGGUCAAUGGCCGGAAGGCUGAACCAGCCAAGCCGCGUGAAGGACGAAGGUGCCAAGCAUUGUAAACUUCUUUUGUCAAGGGACAAAAUCAGGCUCGAGAGCCUGACCGAGGGUACUUGAAGAAAAAGCAUCGGCAAACUCCGUGCCAGCAGCCGCGGUAAUGCGGAGGAUGCGAGCGUUAUUCGGAUUUAUGGGGUUGAAGGGGUGCGUAGGCGGACUGUUAAGUCAGCGGUAAAAGCCCGGGGCUCAACCCCGGAGAGCCGUUGAAACUGGGUGUCUUGAGAUGUCGAGAGGUAGGCGGAAUGCGCAGUGUAGCGGUGAAAUGCUUAGAUAUUGCGAAGAACUCCGAUUGCGAAGGCAGCAUACCGGCGGCGAUCUGACGCUGAGGCACGAAAGCGUGGGUAUCGAACAGGAUUAGAUACCCGGGUAGUC